GGACACAGCCAUAUCACCCUGCAGCCCUAGAACGGUUACUCACCGAAGUUAAGCAGGGCUGAGCCUGGUCAGUACCUGGAUGUGAGAAAACUAGGUUGCUGUUUGAA
rnacentral:rRNA from 1 species